AUAUGGAACACGUAGCAACGCAUUACUUUGUCAGUGGUGGUAUCGUUUUAUAAAAAAAUAAAUUUUCAUUUUUAUUAAAAAUAUAUUAUAUACUAUUUAUAAUAGUAAUGUGAAAAAUUAGUAUGAGUGUGAAUAUAGCAGAUAUGAGACAAUUUAUAAAUUUUAAAUAAAUAAAUGAAAAUAAUGAAAUUGAAAAAAAUGCGUGUACUUAUUCUUCAAUUGUCUAAAUACACAUUUUUUAAUUUUUACUCUAAUUACAUUUUAUUCAUUUGAAUCGUUUAUUUGAGAAACCCCAAAAGUCAUGUUUUUUACGAAAUUGGGUUUUUUACAUUUUUGGGUUCUUUGGAUGUCCCUCCAUAGAAAUCAAUCAAAAUAUGCAUCAAAUCAGCGUUUAAAAAAAAUUAACGGGGUGACAGCAAUUCAUUUAAUUGAGAAACCCCAUAAGUCAAUGACUGAAAUAAACAUAUGCAGUUUUAGGUUCACAGAAAUAAAAAUUUUUUUUUUUAUUUAAAAUGACUAAUUAAAAUGUUUAAAUUUAUUAUAAUUUAUUUAAUUUCCGAGUUUCAGAGUUCAAAUACAUAUUUAAUACUUCAUUUUAUCAGUGUAAUAAAUGUUUUAAGUAAAAAAAUUAAAAAAAACAAUGAUUAUAUAUCUUUUUUUCCGUUUGGUUGAGAAACCCCAUAUAAAUCAAUCAACUCUAAAUAAUUUUUUUAAGUAGUUUCAGUCAAAAAAUUAAAUUUUUCCUGUUAGAAUUUUUUUCAGAGACGCUAACAUUAUAGUAUUCAAUUAUUUAUUUUUUAUUUUAAUGUCAAGUUUUCCCAUAAAAAUGUUUUUUGUGUUUCCUGAAAAAUUUUGUAUUCUUGACUUAUGGGGAUUCUCAAAUAAACGAUUCAAUUUAUUCAAAAGUUUAAAAAAUUUCCGAUUGUCUGUUACAUUCACACUCACAAAUUAUAUAAUUUGCUACUCAAGUCGGGCCACAGCCGCAAAAAUUAAGUGAUUUCAGAGAAUAUUCUACUCUAAGUUUGAAGCAAUGGAUAGAACAGGAUGAAUAUGAUCCAGGCUUUAAUGUCAAGGAAUUUUUAGAGCAUGCUGCACCAAGUAAAAUCCCUGACGUUGCUCAAUUAGAUUGUAAAACUACGGAAGAAGCAUUAACAGGACUUGAAACAAUUGAAGGGUGGUUAAAAACCAAAGAAUUCCCAAGUGAUGAAGACAAAAAAUACGUUCAACUUGCUGUAAACUUUUUGAAACAAAAAAUAGUUUCAAAAACCAUGGACACUGCUCGAAAAUCAAAUAGUGAUGAUGACUUACCAUCUAAAUUGACCAAUGCAUUAUACACAUGUUUGUAAUAUACAAUCAUUUUUAAGUUAAUUUUGUUUAUUAGACUUUAGCAUAACCCAUCCUUCCGUUACUUAAGUUUUAAAUUAAUAGCAGAAUUAAUUUUAUCCAUAAAACAAAUAGAUAUUUAAAAUUUUUAAUGUUAUUUAAUACAUGAAAUCAUUAUUUUUUUCUAAUAACAAAACGAUUGUUAGAAAUUUAUUUAUUUAAGAAAAUAUUUAUUUGACUCAUUAUUGCAAGUUGUAAAAUUUAAUAAUAAUUAUUUAUAUGGAUUUCGAGAAGUGAAAAAUUAAAUGUUACUUAUAAAUUUUUUGCCUGCGUUUACAAACACUAACGAUCCCUCACACCGAUAUACCCUUCCUAGCUCCAGGUCUAUCGAGACUAAUACUUUUAUUGCCCCUUAAACGAUUACGACGGUCCCAAAUCGUCGUAACUUACUAAGGUAGUACUGUAGUGAUAUUGUUUGAUGAGUUCAGAGCUAUAAAAUUUUAGAAUACUUUCAUUCAGUUCAGAAAAUCCACUAAAAAUACAUAUUUUCUGUGACAUGACACUCCAAUAGACAUGUGUAUUUAAUAAUAUUUGCAUAUACUUUUCUGGUUAAAUAUGAAAAAAAUUAAAUUUGUAAAACUAUAAAUUAUUAUUUAUUUUUACUUAUUAUUUAUUACUUUUUUUUUAUUUUUUCUCUGCAAUGAAACUCUUAAGGUUUUAGUCAUUAUUUAUAAAUUAUAUCUGUACUUGAAAUAUAUUGUUAUAAAUGAUGUAUAUAGCCGAUCAAAUAAAAUAAAAAUAGGCGUAAGUGAUAAUUUUAUAAUUUUUAAAUUGUGAACUAAUUAUUCAGCUUAAAAAUUUUUUAUAAAAUUUGAUAAAAAAUAACUAAAAUUUUCGAGUACAAGUUCUUUUGAAAUUUUCGAUAAAAUUUGUUAAAAAAUAGUUGAAUAACUAUAAAUAUACAGAAAAGUAACAGUAGUAAAUGAUAUUUGAAUAGAAUUGAUAAAUUAAAAUAAGACAGUUUUAGUAAUCACAUGAUUUCGGUAUAAAGGCACGUCAUCUCUCGCCUUCUAUAGUACACAUACACACACACAAAUGAAAAACAUGUGUUUGAGGACGUGUGUAUUAUACGUGAACACGCUGUCACUCAGUAUAUUGAGACAAACUGUCUGAAAUCUGAUGAUUUGUGUUUUGGUCUUAUAUUUAAUAAUACAAAAAACUAAUAGACUAAUAUAAUUAUUUUAAAAUUAGAAUUAAGGGUUUGGGAAAAUACUUAAAAAAUACGAUAAAGUUAAAACCAUUUAAACACAAUAUUUUAAUGUAAUUUUUUUUUUUUAGACAUGAAACAGAACGAUACAAAAGAAUGUAUAAUUUGUGAAUUUUUUUGUUUAAAUAAAUGCUCUAAAUG